GUGCUCACUUUGGCAGCACAUAUACGAAAAUUGGAACGAUACAGAGAUUAGCAUGGCUCCUGCGAGGAUAGCACGCAAAUUCGUGAAGUGUUCCAUAUGUUU
rnacentral:snRNA from 1 species